rnacentral:rRNA from 1 species
GACGAACCGUGCGAACGUUGUUCGGAAUCACUGGGCAUAAAGGGCGCGUAGGCGGGCCGUAAAGUCAGGGGUGAAAUCCUCCAGCUUAACUGGAGAACUGCCUUUGAUACUGACGGUCUCGAGUGAGGUAGGGGUGUGCGGAACUGAUGGUGGAGCGGUGAAAUGUGUUGAUAUCAUCAGGAACUCCGGUGGCGAAAGCGGCACACUGGACCUUUACUGACGCUGAGGCGCGAAAGCCAGGGGAGCAAACGGG